AACAAGGCGUACCUGCGGACCUGCGGAGGGAUCAUUACCGAGUUUACAACUCCCAAACCCCUGUGAACAUACCUAUACGUUGCCUCGGCGGAUCAGCCCGCGCCCUGUAAAACGGGACGGCCCGCCCGAGGACCCCUAAACUCUGUUUUUAGUGGAACUUCUGAGUAAAACAAACAAAUAAAUCAAAACUUUCAACAAUGGAUCU
rnacentral:misc_RNA from 1 species